rnacentral:rRNA from 1 species
GCAAGGGGGGGCAUGCUAUACUGCAGUCGAACGCUUUGUCUUUAAUUGAUCUGAAGAGCUUGCUCUGAUUCCGAUUAUUAUCUGACAAAGAGUGGCGAACGGGUGAGUAACACGUGGGUAACCUACCUCUUAGCAGGGGAUAACAUUUGGAAACAAGUGCUAAUACCGUAUAAUACCAACAACCGCAUGGUUGUUGGUUGAAAGAUGGUUCUGCUAUCACUAAGAGAUGGACCCGCGGUGCAUUAGCUAGUUGGUAAGGUAACGGCUUACCAAGGCAAUGAUGCAUAGCCGAGUUGAGAGACUGAUCGGCCACAAUGGGACUGAGACACGGCCCAUACUCCUACGGGAGGCAGCAGUAGGGAAUCUUCCACAAUGGGCGCAAGCCUGAUGGAGCAACGCCGCGUGUGUGAUGAAGGGUUUCGGCUCGUAAAACACUGUUAUAAGAGAAGAACGGCACUGAGAGUAACUGUUCAGUGUGUGACGGUAUCUUACCAGAAAGGAACGGCUAAAUACGUGCCAGCAGCCGCGGUAAUACGUAUGUUCCAAGCGUUAUCCGGAUUUAUUGGGCGUAAAGCGAGCGCAGACGGUUAUUUAAGUCUGAAGUGAAAGCCCUCAGCUCAACUGAGGAAUGGCUUUGGAAACUGGAUGACUUGAGUGCAGUAAGGAAAGUGGAACUCCAUGUGUAGCGGUGAAAUGCGUAAUAUAUGGAAGAACACCAGUGGCGAAGGCGGCUUUCUGGACUGUAACUGACGUUGACGCUCGAAAGUGUGGGUAGCAAACAAGAUUAGAUACCCUGGUAGUCCACACCGUAGACGAUGAGUGCUAGAUGUUCGAGGGUUGCCCCCCUUGUGUGUCGCAGCUAACGCAUUAAACACUCCGCCUGGCGAGUACGACCGCAAGGUUCGAGCUCAAGGAAUUGACGGGGACCCGCACAGCGAUGGAGCAUGUGGUUUGAUUUCUUAGCAGCGCGACGAACCUUACCAGUCUUGACAUCUCUUGCUAAUCUAGCAAUAAGACGAUCCCUUCCGUGACAGCUGACAUGUAGUGCAUGAUGGUCGUCAGCUCGCGUCAUGCCCAUGGUCGAGUGAGGUGCGG